GGUUUAGGGAUUCUAGACCUGGAAAUCAUGAAUAUUGCUCUGUUAUCUAAAUGGUUAUGGAAAUUCUUUAAUGAGGAAAGUUUAUGGCAAAGAUUGUUAUGGGAUAAAUAUAUAGGGAAUUCCACCUUUGGACAGGUUAGUGAAAAACAGGGUGACUCACAUUUUUGGCAGGGGCUGCUGAAAUGCAAAGACUUGUUUCUAACCUAUUGCAGAUUUAAGAUAGGUGAUGGGAAGAAAACUAGAUUUUGGGAAGACGUAUGGAUUGGAAAACAAAAACUGUCGGAUGCUUUCCCUAAUCUAUACAAUGUCUCAAUCAAUCAACACAUUACUGUUUAUGAAUCCAUCUCUUCUAACCUGGCUAUUCUUCAAUUUAGAAGAGCGCUGGUGGGGGAAAGAGCAGCUCAAUGGCUAGAGCUGGUGGAAAUUUGUAGGCAAGUCAAGUUAAACAAUGAUAAAGAUAAGUUGCAUUGGAUACCUGACGUAUCAUGGGAGUUUAGUGUGAAAUCCUUUUAUUUUGUUUUAAAGUUGGGGAAAAAAUGUCCCGAUAGAUUCCUAUGGAAAGUUAAAAUCCCUACGAAAAUCAAAACAUUUGUCUGGUUAGUUAUGAAAAUAAGUAUAUUGACUAGAGAUAUUUUGUUAUAUAGAGGAGGAAAAUGUGAAGAGAAAUGUGUUUUCUGCGAUGGAAAAUAA
rnacentral:rRNA from 1 species